ensembl:lncRNA
CUGGUCUCUAACCAGACCAUACUGGUUUAUACUGGUUUAUACUGGUCCAUACUGGUCUCUAACCGGUCCAUACUGGUCCAUACUGGUCCAUACUGGUCUCUAACUGGUUUAUACUGGUCUGUACUGGUCCAUACUGGUCCAUACUGGUUUAUACUGGUUUAUACUGGUCCAUACUGGUCUGUAACUGGUAUAUACUGGUCUGUAACUGGUCCAUACUGGUCUCUAACUGGUCCAUACUGGUUUAUACUGGUUUAUACUGGUCCAUACUGGUCUAUACUGGUCUCUAACUGGUCUCUACUGGUCCAUACUGGUCCAUACUGGUCUCUAACUGAUCCAUACUGGUCCAUACUGAUCCAUACCGGUCCAUACUGGUCCAUACUGUUCCAUACUGGUCCAUACUGGUCCGUACUGGUCCAUACUGGUCCAUACUGGUCUCUAACUGGUUUAUACUGGGAGUCCGUACUGGUCCAUACUGGUCUCUUAACUGGUCCAUACUGGUCCAUACUGGUCUGUACUGGUCUGUACUGGUAUAUACUGGUCCAUACUGGUUUAUACUGGUCCAUACUGGUUUAUACUGGGGUCACUCACGGGGCGUGUCCCGGGCGGCUCCAGGUGAGCUCCGGGGCCGGGUGGGCGGGGCCGGCGCGGCAGGUGAGGCUGAGGGCGUGGCCGGGGCGGGGCUGGGGCGGGGCCAGCGAGAUGGAGACGGACUGGGCGGGAACUGGGGAGACUGGGAGUUACUGGGAGGGACUGGGAGGGACUGGGAGGGAACUGGGGGGACUGGGAGUUACUGGUUUGUACUGGGAGGGACUGGGAGGGACUGGGAGGGACUGGGAGGGAACUGGGAGGGAUUGGGAGUUACUGGUUUGUACUGGGAGGGACUGGGUUAUACUGGGAGGGACUGGGAGGGGAUUGGGAGGGAACUGGGAGGGACUGGGAGGGACUGGGAGGGACUGGGAGGUACUGGGAGGUACUGGUUUAUACUGGGAGGCACUGGGAGGGACUGGGAGGGACUGGGAGGGGACUGGGAGGGAACUGGGAGGGACUGGGAGGUACUGGUUUAUACUGGGAGGCACUGGGAGGGACUGGGAGGGACUGGGAGGGACUGGGAGGGAACUGGGAGGGACUGGGAGGGAACUGGUUUAUACUGGGAGGGACUGGGAGGGAGUGGGAGGGACUGGGAGGGGACUGGGAGGGGAUUGGGAGGGACUGGGUUAUACUGGGUUAUACUGGGAGCGGACUGGUGGGCUUGGGGGUGUGGCCACACUGUGCCGCUCCCAGUCCCUCCCAGUCCGUCCCAGUUCCCUCCCAGUAUGACUCAAUCCCCUCCAAUCCUCUCCCAGUCCCUCCCAGUAUAAACCAGUUCCCUCCCAGUCCCCUCCCAGUCCCCCCCAAUCUCCUCCCAGUUUGUCCCAGUACACUCCCAGUCCCUCCGAAUUCCCUCCCAGUAUAACCCAGUCCCCUCCCAGUCCCUCCCAGUUCCCCUCCAUCCCCUCCCAGUAUAAACCAGUCCCUCCCAGUAUAACCCAGUCCUCUCUUAGUCCCUCCCAGUAUAAACGAGUUCCCUCCCACUCCCUCCCAGUCCCCUCCCAGUAUAACCCAGUAUAUCCCAGUCCCCCACAGUCCCCUCCCAAUCCCUUCCCAGUCCCUCCCAGUCCCUCCCAGUUCCCUCCCAGUUCCCUCCCAGUAUAUCCCAAUCCCCUCCCAGUCCCUCCCAGUCCCUCCCAGUCCCUCCCAUUUCCUCCCAGUAUAAACCAGUAACACUUUUUAACCCUCCCAGUAUAACCCAGUCCCUCCCAGUCCCUCCCAGUAUAAACCAGUUCCUCCCAGUUCCCUCCCAGUAUAACCCAGUCCCCUCCCACCCUCUCCCAGUAUAUCCCAGUCCCUCCCAAUCCCCUCCCAGUCCCUCCCAGUCCCUCCCAGUCCCUCCCAGUAUAAACCAGUAACACUUUUUAACCCUCCCAGUCCCUCCCAGUAUAACCCAAUCCCCUCCCAGUCCCUCCCAGUUCCUCCCAGUCCCUCCCAGUCCCUCCCAGUCCCUCCCAUUCCCCUCCCAGUUCCCUCCCAGUUCCCUCCCAGUUCCCUCCCAGUCCCUCCCAGUUCCCUCCCAGUCCCUCCCAGUCCCUCCCAGUCCCCUCCCAGUUCCCUCCCAGUCCCUCCCAGUCCCCUCCCAGUUCCCUCCCAUUCCCCUCCCAGUUCCCUCCCAGUUCCCUCCCAGUUCCCUCCCAGUCCCUCCCAGUUCCCUCCCAGUUCCCUCCCAGUCCCUCCCAGUCCCUCCCAGUCCCUCCCAGUCCCUCCCAGUAUAAACCAGUAUCCCCAGUCUCUCACAGAGCACGCGCACGCGCACUGGGGCGCUCCGGGCCGGCCCCGCCUCGCACCGGAAGUCGGCGCCAUUGUCGGAAGGGGCGGCGGUCACGUGCAGCGCCCGCAUGGUCACGUGACCCGAGCGGCUCUGGGGCGGCGCUUCCGGGAGGGGGCGGCCGUCCUGGGAGGGGGCGGGGCUUGAGCGGGGGGGACUGGGAUAUACUGGGAGGGACUGGGAGGGGACUGGGAUAUACUGGGAGGGACUGGGAGGGGACUGGGAUAUACUGGGAGGGAACUGGGAGGGGAUUGGGAUAUACUGGGAUGGACUGGGAGGGACUGGGAGGGGACUGGGAUAUACUGGGAUAUACUGGUUUAUACUGGGAGGGGAUUGGGGGAGACUGGGAUAUACUGGGAUGGGACUGGGAGGAACUGGGGGGGACUGGGAGGGACUGGGGGGGACUGGGGGGGACUGGGGGGGAGUGGUUUAUACUGGGAGGGGACUGGGAGGGACUGGGAUAUACUGGGAUGGGACUGGGAGGGGAUUGGGAGGGAACUGGGAGGGACUGGUUUAUACUGGGAGGGACUGGGAGGGGACUGCGAGGGACUGGGAGAUACUGGGAUAUACUGGGAUGGGACUGGGAGGGACUGGGAAGGACUGGGAGGGAAGUGGAAUGGACUAGGAUAUACUGGGAGGGGACUGGGAUGGGACUGGGGGGGAUUGCGAGAGA